CGGGUGAGUAACACUUAGGAAUCUACCUAGUAGUGGGGGAUAGCUCGGGGAAACUCGAAUUAAUACCGCAUACGUCCUACGGGAGAAAGGGGGCAGUUUACUGCUCUCGCUAUUAGAUGAGCCUAAGUCGGAUUAGCUAGUUGGUGGGGUAAAGGCCUACCAAGGCGACGAUCUGUAGCUGGUCUGAGAGGAUGAUCAGCCACACCGGGACUGAGACACGGCCCGGACUCCUACGGGAGGCAGCAGUGGGGAAUAUUGGACAAUGGGGGAAACCCUGAUCCAGCCAUGCCGCGUGUGUGAAGAAGGCCUUUUGGUUGUAAAGCACUUUAAGCAGUGAAGAAGACCUAACGGUUAAUACCCGUUAGCGAUGACAUUAGCUGCAGAAUAAGCACCGGCUAACUCUGUGCCAGCAGCCGCGGUAAUACAGAGGGUGCAAGCGUUAAUCGGAAUUACUGGGCGUAAAGCGAGCGUAGGUGGCUUGAUAAGUCAGAUGUGAAAUCCCCGGGCUUAACCUGGGAACUGCAUCUGAUACUGUUAAGCUAGAGUAGGUGAGAGGGAAGUAGAAUUCCAGGUGUAGCGGUGAAAUGCGUAGAGAUCUGGAGGAAUACCGAUGGCGAAGGCAGCUUCCUGGCAUCAUACUGACACUGAGGUUCGAAAGCGUGGGUAGCAAACAGGAUUAGAUACCCUGGUAGUCCACGCCGUAAACGAUGUCUACUAGUCGUUGGGUCCCUUGAGGACUUAGUGACGCAACUAACGCAAUAAGUAGACCGCCUGGGGGAGUACGGCCCGCAAGGGUUAAAACUCAAAUGAAAUUGACGGGGGGCCCGCCACAAGCGGUGGGAACCAUGUGGGUUUAAAUUCGAUGCCACCGCGAAAG
rnacentral:rRNA from 1 species